GGGGAGAAGAAGAAGAAGAGGAUGAAGAGGUGCUCCGAGCGGAGUCUUAGUUUAUUUGUUUUUCUUUGAUUUUAGUUAUCAUGGCCUGCGUGCCUUAUGUAUUUUGGCCUUCGGGCGUUGUAAUAUGGCCUUCGGGCGUACUUGGCUUCGGCCACUCUUAUCGUUUUUAAUGUAUGAAUAUUUUCGUUAUCAUUCAUUGUGCUCGUUUGUGUUUGA
rnacentral:lncRNA from 1 species